rnacentral:rRNA from 1 species
GACGAACGCUGGCGGCGUGCUUAACACAUGCAAGUCGAACGGUAAGGCCCUUCGGGGUACACGAGUGGCGAACGGGUGAGUAACACGUGGGUGAUCUGCCCUGCACUUCGGGAUAAGCCUGGGAAACUGGGUCUAAUACCGGAUAGGACCACUGCCUGCAUGGGUGGUGGUGGAAAGCUUUUGCGGUGUGGGAUGGGCCCGCGGCCUAUCAGCUUGUUGGGGGGGUGAUGGCCUACAAAGGCGACGACGGGUAGCCGGCCCGAGAGUGUGACCGGCCACACUGUGACUGGUAUGCGGCCCAGUCUCCUACGUGGGGCAGCAGUGGGGAAUAUUGCACAAUGGGCGCAAGCCUGAUGCAGCGACGCCGCGUGAAGGAUGACGGCCUUCGGGUUGUAAACCUCUUUCAGCACCGACGAAGCGCAAGUGACGGUAGGUGCAGAAGAAGGACCGGCCAACUACGUGCCAGCCGCCGCCGUAA